rnacentral:lncRNA from 1 species
AUCCUCCCCAUACCCUCUUGCAUCAGUAGGUGUGUGCAAGCAUAGAUAAGAUGUGCAUGUAGGCGGGCGCGUGUGAUGGGACAUGCGCGUAGGCAUGCACGAGCGAGAAGACAACUGCUAGCACGGGCAUGCGAUUGGACAAACGAGUAGGCGUGCUUGCACUGGGACAUAUAUAACAACCCAAAAGAAUUUGAUGACCUAGAUCACAUGAGGAUGUAACACCAUGAACCCUUGCACUUAAAUGUGGUGUCAAACUCUAUUAUUUUGGGGCUUAUGCCAAUUUAAAUUCUAUUA